rnacentral:rRNA from 1 species
CCCCACUGCUAUCGAGGUGGGACUAAGCCAUGCCAGUCGAACGACCCGGACUAUGGCGGGGAGUGGCAGACUGCUCAGUAACACGUAGCUAACCUACCCUCAGGACGGGGAUAACCCCGGGAAACUGGGGCUAUACCCGAUAGGUAUGGAUUCCUGGAAUGGUGCCAUGCCUAAACGUAAGCACAUCCAUGUUUGUGUGCACGCCCGAGGAUGGGGCUGCGGCCGAUCAGGCAGUUGGUGAGGUAACGGCUCACCAAACCUUUGACCGGUACGGGCCAUGAGAGUGGUAGCCCGGAGAUGGGCACUGAGACAAGGGCCCAGGCCCUACGGGGCGCAGCAGGCGCGAAACCUCCACAAUUCACGCAAGUGAGAUGGGGUUACCUCGAGUGCUAUCUGAAGAAGGUGGCUUUUCCAUGGUGUAAUGAGCCGUGGGAAUAAGGGGGGGGCAAGACUGGUGUCAGCCGCCGCGGUAACACCAGCCCCCCGAGUGGUGGGGAUGAUUAUUUGGCCUAAAGCGUCCGUAGCCAGCUCGGUAAAUCUCUCGUUAAAUCCAGCGUCCUAAGCGUUGGGCUGCGAGGGAAACUGCCGAACUAGAGGGUGGGAGAGGUCAGCGGUAUUCCUGGGGUAGGGGCGAAAUCCAUUGAUCCCAGGAGGACCACCAGUGGCGAAGGCUGCUGACUAGAACACGCCUGACGGUGAGGGACGAAAGCUGGGGUAGCGAAUCGGAUUAGAUACCCGAGUAGUCCCAGCCGUAAACGAUGCAGGCUAGGUGUUGGGUCGGCCAUGCGCCGCCUCAGUGCCACAGGGAAGCCAUUAAGCCUGCCGCCUGGGGAGUACGGCCGCAAGGCUGAAACUUAAAGGAAUUGGCGGGGGAGCACCACCAGGCGUGAAGCCUGCGGUUU